rnacentral:rRNA from 1 species
CAGCCGCCACGGUAAUACGUAGGUGGCAAGCGUUGUCCGGAAUUAUUGGGCGUAAAGGGCUCGCAGGCGGUUUCUUAUGUCUGAUGUGAAAGCCCCCGGCUCAACCGGGGAGGGUCAUUGGAAACUGGGAAACUUGAGUGCAGAAGAGGAGAGUGGAAUUCCACGCGUAGCGGUGAAAUGCGUAGAGAUGUGAGGAACACCAGUGGCGAAGGCGACUCUCUGGUCUGUAACUGACGCUGAGGAGCGAAAGCGUGGGGAGCGAACAGGAUUAGAUACCCCUGUAGUCCCUGUCUCUUAUACC